rnacentral:rRNA from 1 species
AUUGAACGCUGGCGGCAGGCCUAACACAUGCAAGUCGAGCGGUAGAGAGGAGCUUGCUUCUCUUGAGAGCGGCGGACGGGUGAGUAAUGCCUAGGAAUCUGCCUGAUAGUGGGGGAUAACGUCGGGAAACGGACGCUAAUACCGCAUACGUCCUACGGGAGAAAGUGGGGGCUCUUCGGACUGCACGCAUACAAAUGAGCCUAGGUCGGAUUAGCUAGUUGGUGGGGUAAAGGCUCACCAAGGCGACGAUCCGUAACUGGUCUGAGAGGAUGAUCAGUCACACUGGAACUGAGACACGGUCCAGACUCCUACGGGAGGCAGCAGUGGGGAAUAUUGGACAAUGGGCGAAAGCCUGAUCCAGCCAUGCCGCGUGUGUGAAGAAGGUCUUCGGAUUGUAAAGCACUUUAAGUUGGGAGGAAGGGUCGUUACCUAAUACGAGACGAUUUUGACGUUACCGACAGAAUAAGCACCGGCUAACUCUGUGCCAGCCGCCGCAGUAA